CCGAUGACUGGGGUGAAGUCGUAACAAGGUAGCCGUAUCGGAAGGUGCGGCUGGAUCACCUCCUUUCUAAGGAG
rnacentral:rRNA from 1 species